UAUAAAUGUAAAUUAAUAUUACUAAGGGAUUAAUAGUUAAGAUCUUUAAAUUUAAAAAAUUUGGCGGUAUUUUAGUCUAUUUAGAGGAACCUGUUCUAUAAUUGAUAAUCCACGAUUAGAAAUACUUAAAUUAAUAAAUUUGUAUAUCGUUGUUUAAAAAAUUUUAUAAGAAUAAUAAUUUUUUAUAAAUUGUAUUAAAUUAUUAAUCAAAUCAAGGUGCAGUAAAUAUUUAAGAAGAAAUGGGUUACAAUAAAUUUUAUUUAUAUGGAUUAAUUUAUAUUUAAAAAUAUUUAUGAAGGUGGAUUUAAAAGUAAAUAUAAUAAUUUAAUUAUAUUGAUUUUAGCUCUAAAAUAUGU
rnacentral:rRNA from 1 species